rnacentral:rRNA from 1 species
AAACUUAAAGGAAUUGACGGGGACCCGCACAAGCGGUGGAUGAUGUGGUUUAAUUCGAUGCAACGCGAAAACCUUACCCACCUUUGACAUGUACGGAACCCUUUAGAGAUAGAGGGGUGCUCGAAAGAGAGCCGUAACACAGGUGCUGCAUGGCUGUCGUCAGCUCGUGUCGUGAGAUGUUGGGUUAAGUCCCGCAACGAGCGCAACCCUUGUCAUUAGUUGCUACAUUCAGUUGGGCACUCUAAUGAGACUGCCGGUGACAAGCCGGAGGAAGGUGGGGAUGACGUCAAGUCCUCAUGGCCCUUAUAGGUGGGGCUACACACGUCAUACAAUGGCUGGUACAAAGGGUUGCCAACCCGCGAGGGGGAGCCAAUCCCAUAAAGCCAGUCGUAGUCCGGAUCGUAGUCUGCAACUCGACUACGUGAAGUCGGAAUCGCUAGUAAUCGUGGAUCAGAAUGUCACGGUGAAUACGUUCCCGGGUCUU